UACGAAGGGGGCUAGCGUUGUUCGGAAUUACUGGGCGUAAAGCGUGCGCAGGCGGCUUCUCAAGUCAGGGGUGAAAGCCCAGAGCUCAACUCUGGAAUUGCCUUUGAGACUGAGUGGCUUGAGUACGAGAGAGGUGAGUGGAAUUCCCAGUGUAGAGGUGAAAUUCGUAGAUAUUGGGAAGAACACCGGUGGCGAAGGCGGCUCACUGGCUCGUAACUGACGCUGAGGCGCGAAAGCUAGGGGAGCAAACAGG
rnacentral:rRNA from 1 species